CGGGAUAAGUGCUGAAAGCAUCUAAGCAUGAAGCCCCCCUCAAGAUGAGAUUUCCCCAUUAGAUCCCUCAGAGACGAUGAGGUGGAUAGGUUCGGCGUGUAAGUGUGGCGACACAUGCAGCGGACGAAUACUAAUCGAUCGAUGACUUAUUCAA
rfam:Salinicoccus alkaliphilus DSM 16010 genome assembly, contig: EJ97DRAFT_scaffold00001.1